GCCUGGGUGGCUCAGUGGUUGAGCAUCUGCCUUUGGCUCAGGUCAUGGUCCGGGAGUCCUGGGAUCGAGUCCCACAUCAGGCU
rnacentral:tRNA from 1 species